UUCUGACGAGAGUAAAUCUGGUGUGGA
rnacentral:sRNA from 1 species